rnacentral:rRNA from 1 species
UACGUAGGGUGCAAGCGUUGUCCGGAAUUACUGGGCGUAAAGAGCUCGUAGGCGGUUUGUCGCGUCGUCUGUGAAAACUCGAGGCUCAACCUCGAGCUUGCAGGCGAUACGGGCAGACUUGAGUACUGCAGGGGAGACUGGAAUUCCUGGUGUAGCGGUGAAAUGCGCAGAUAUCAGGAGGAACACCGGUGGCGAAGGCGGGUCUCUGGGCCGAUACUGACGCUGAGGAGCGAAAGCGUGGGGAGCAAACAGG